AUUGAACGCUGGCGGCAUGCCUUACACAUGCAAGUCGAACGGCAGCACGGGGGGUAACCCCUGGUGGCGAGUGGCGAACGGGUGAGUAAUAUAUCGGAACGUGUCCUGUAGCGGGGGAUAACCUAUCGAAAGAUGGACUAAUACCGCAUACGACCUACGGGUGAAAGCGGAGGACCGCAAGGCUUCGCACUAUAGGAGCGGCCGAUAUCGGAUUAGCUAGUUGGCGGGGUAACGGCCCACCAAGACGACGAUCCGUAGCUGGUCUGAGAGGACGAUCAGCCACACUGGAACUGAGACACGGUCCAGACUCCUACGGGAGGCAGCAGUGGGGAAUUUUGGACAAUGGGCGCAAGCCUGAUCCAGCCAUGCCGCGUGAGUGAAGAAGGCCUUCGGGUUGUAAAGCUCUUUCGGCGGGGACGAAACGGUUCGUGCUAAUACCACGGACUACUGACGGUACCCGCAGAAGAAGCACCGGCUAACUACGUG
rnacentral:rRNA from 1 species